rnacentral:rRNA from 1 species
GACGAACGCUGGCGGCGUGCUUAACACAUGCAAGUCGAACGGAAAGGCCCUGCUUUUGCGGGGUGCUCGAGUGGCGAACGGGUGAGUAACACGCGAGUAACCUGCCCUUGACUUUGGGAUAACUUCAGGAAACUGGGGCUAAUACCGGAUAGGAGCUCCUGCUGCAUGGUGGGGGUUGGAAAGUUUCGGCGGUUGGGGAUGGACUCGCGGCUUAUCAGCUUGUUGGUGGGGUAGUGGCUUACCAAGGCUUUGACGGGUAGCCGGCCUGAGAGGGUGGCCGGCCACAUUGGGACUGAGAUACGGCCCAGACUCCUACGGGAGGCAGCAGUGGGAAAUAUUGCGCAAUGGGCGGAAGCCUGAUGCAGCAACGCCGCGUGCGGGAUGACGGCCUUCGGGUUGUAAACCGCUUUCGCCUGUGACGAAGCGUGAGUGACGGUAAUGGGUAAAGAAGCACCGGCUAACUACGUG